rnacentral:rRNA from 1 species
GGAAAUCUCACCAGGCCCGGACACUGGAAGGAUUGACAGAUUGAUAGCUCUUUCUUGAUUCGGUGGGUUGUGGUGCAUGGCUGUUCUUAGUUGGUGGAGUGAUUUGUCUGGUUAAUUCCGUUAACGAACGAGACCUUAACCUGCUAAAUAGUGACGCGGUUCAUCGAACCGUGGGCCACUUCUUAGAGGGACUAUCGGAUUCAAACCGAUGGAAGUGUGAGGCAAUAA